CGAACGCUGGCGGCGUGCUUAACACAUGCAAGUCGAACGAGACGAUUGAAAGCUUGCUUUUGAAAGUCGAGUGGCAAACGGGUGAGUAACGCGUAGGCAACCUGCCCAUGAGAUGGGGACAACAUUCCGAAAGGGAUGCUAAUACCGAAUGAUGUUACGGAGUCGCAUGACUCUGCAACCAAAGGCUGAGCAAUCGGUCACUCAUGGAUGGGCCUGCGUCUGAUUAGCUAGUUGGUGGGGUAACGGCCCACCAAGGCGACGAUCAGUAGCCGGUCUGAGAGGAUGAACGGCCACAUUGGGACUGAGACACGGCCCAGACUCCUACGGGAGGCAGCAGUGGGGAAUCUUCCGCAAUGGGCGAAAGCCUGACGGAGCAACGCCGCGUGAGUGAAGAAGGUCUUCGGAUCGUAAAGCUCUGUUGAGAGGGACGAGAGAUUACUUCAGGAAAUGGGAGUAAGAGGACGGUACCUUUCGAGGAAGCCACGGCUAACUACGUG
rnacentral:rRNA from 1 species